rnacentral:rRNA from 1 species
UAUGCCGGCGACCGGCGCACGGGUGAGUAACACGUAUCCAACCUGCCGAUAACUCGGGGAUAGCCUUUCGAAAGAAAGAUUAAUACCCGAUGGUAUAAUCAGACCGCAUGGUCUUGUUAUUAAAGAAUUUCGGUUAUCGAUGGGGAUGCGUUCCAUUAGGCAGUUGGUGAGGUAACGGCUCACCAAACCUUCGAUGGAUAGGGGUUCUGAGAGGAAGGUCCCCCACAUUGGAACUGAGACACGGUCCAA